UACGUAGGGCGCAAGCGUUAUCCGGAAUUAUUGGGCGUAAAGAGCUCGUAGGCGGUUUGUCGCGUCUGCCGUGAAAGUCCGGGGCUCAACCCCGGGCCUGCAGCCGAUACGGGCAGACUAGAAUUCGGUAGGGGAGACUGGAAUUCCUGGUGUAGCGGUGAAAUGCGCAGAUAUCAGGAGGAACACCGGUGGCGAAGGCGGGUCUCUGGGCCGAUAUUGACGCUGAGGAGCGAAAGCGUGGGGAGCGAACAGG
rnacentral:rRNA from 1 species